AGAUAAUAGAUACCCAGGUAGUCCACGCCCUAAACGAUGUCGACUGGUUGUUGGGGGUUUGACACUCUCAGUAAACGAAAGCUAAACGCGUGAAGUCGACCGCCUGGGGAGUACGGCCGCAAGGUUAAAACUCAAAGGAAUUGACGGGGACCCGCACAAGCGGUGGAUUAUGUGGAUUAAUUCGAUGCAACGCGAAAAACCUUACCUACCCUUGACAUGUCCUGAAUCCCGCUGAGAGGUGGGAGUGCCCGAAAGGGAACGGGAACACAGGUGCUGCAUGGCUGUCGUCAGCUCGUGUCGUGAGAUGUUGGGUUAAGUCCCGCAACGAGCGCAACCCUUGUCAUUAGUUGCUACAUUCAGUUGGGCACUCUAAUGAGACUGCCGGUGACAAACCGGAGGAAGGUGGGGAUGACGUCAAGUCCUCAUGGCCCUUAUGGGUAGGGCUUCACACGUAAUACAAUGGCGCGUACAGAGGGUUGCCAAGCCGCGAGGUGGAGCCAAUCCCACAAAGCGCGUCGUAGUCCGGAUUGGAGUCUGCAACUCGACUCC
rnacentral:rRNA from 1 species